AUGGGUGCAUACAAGCACAUCCAGGAGCUAUGGAGAAAGCAGCCUGAUGUCAUCAUGCGCUUUCUUCUGAGGGUCUGCUGCUGGCAGUACCGCCAGCUCUCUGCUCUCCACAGGGCUCCCCACCCCAUCUGGCCUGAUAAAUUGUGCAGACUGGGCUGCAAGGCCAAGAAAGGUUACAUUAUAUAUAGGAUUCGUAUUCGCCAUGGUGGCCGAAAAUGCCCAGUUCCUAAGGGUGCAACAUAUGGCAAGCCUGUCCAUCAUGGUGUUAACCAGCUAAAGUUUGCUCACAGCUUCAGUCCGUUGCAGAGGAGUGAGCUGGACGCCACUGUGGGGCUCUAAGAGUCCUGAAUUCUUACUGGGUUGGUGAAGAUCCCACAUAGAAAUUUUUUGAGGCUAUCCUCAUUAAUCCAUUCCAUAAUACUAUCAGAAGAAAUCCUGACACCCAUGGAUCACCGAACCAGUCCACAAGCACAGGGAAAUGUGUGGGCUCACAUCUGCAGGCCAAAAGAGCCGUGGCCUUUGAAAGGGCCAUAAGUUCCACCACACAAUUAGUGGUUCUAGCCAGGCAGCUUGGAGAAGGCGCAAUACUCUCCAGCUCCACUGUUAUCACUAA
rnacentral:lncRNA from 1 species